rnacentral:tRNA from 1 species
CCCCCAAUAGUCUAAUGGAUAGAAUAAACCCCUCCUAAGGGUUAGAUACAGGUUCGAUUCCUGUUUGGGGGGCCA